rnacentral:sRNA from 1 species
ACCAGGCACAGUGGUGCAUGCCUGUAAUCCCAGAAGCUUCGGAGAUUGAGGCAGGAGGAUCAUAAGUUCAAACAGCUUCAGCAAUUUAAGGAAGCCUUAAGCAACUUAGUGAGACCCUGUCUCAA